rnacentral:rRNA from 1 species
UACGUAGGGGGCGAGCGUUGUCCGGAGUUACUGGGCGUAAAGCGCCCGCAGGCGGUCAGGCGCGUUUCGGGUUACAGCUCCCGGCUUCACUGGGAGAGCGCCCGGAAGACGGCCUGACUUGAGGCAGUGAGAGGGACACGGAAUUCCGGGUGUAGUGGUGAAAUGCGUAGAUAUCCGGAGGAACACCGAAGGCGAAGGCAGUGUCCUGGCACCGACCUGACGCUCAGGGGCGAAAGCUAGGGGAGCGAACGGG